rnacentral:lncRNA from 1 species
CUCGCAACGCAGAGACUCAUACAGAGCUAAUAACUACCCAACCACCAGCUAUGCCCCCAAACACACAGAACAUGCUCCACAACACGUCUGUGAGCCUCACAACGCCUAGCCUGUCCUUAAUACCCACCUCAGCCUACGAUGUCACACAUGCUCCAUGGCAGGCCUCCCACCCUAGCCCGUGCAGCGGUAUCGCAACGCAGAGAUGUGCCUCGCAUGUAAACGUUCUCCCCAGAAUGCCAACGCUUGCUCUGUAAGGCAUCCAGUAUGACUGUAACACCUAGAUUUGCCUCCAGACUCAGGCUUGCACCACAAUACUCCCCCAGUGCCUCACAAUACCUACCACGAAUGUAGAGUGGACGGACCUGCCCCACAAUGUCCAGACUUAGAAAACCAAGACAUGCCCUAUCGGCCACAGGUUCCACAAAGCAAAAAUCUCCCUGUUGCACAGCCCAACUCUACAUCAUAUAGUCACCCCCCCCCCACGGUAGGAACAGACCUCAAAUAUUCAGUCACAAAUUCAGUCUUGCCACACAACACUGACAGGUGUCUUACGACUCACACACGAGUUCCACGAUACCUAGACACAGCUAACUUACAAUGGACAGGUAUACGCUGUGACACAAAGGUUUCUCCCCGAAACACCAGAUUGCAUUCUGAUGCACAGAAUCCCCCCCAAACACACACACACAUGCACUCAUAGUGCCACAGGUGUUUACACUGACACAGAACUACGGGUGUAUCAGAAUCCCACAGACCAUACGUUCUUUCAGCCACAGCCAAAGACAUAUGUUUGCGCAAGUAUGAACAUAUAACCAGAGUUCCAGCAAGGACCACCUCAUGUUUAUGCAGAUACACGUAUACAUACACACAGAUGCAUACAAACACCCACAGUUUGGUGUGUAGGCACAAAGCAACAUGCAGUCACAGAUGCACACUCCACACUCGCACAGGCCCAGAGAAGCACGCAGAGACACAUGCAUGCCAACCUAGGCGUCCAGAGGAUGUGUUUACUGAUUCAUAACCUCAAAGAUGCAAGAACACAAAUGCAUGCACACACGCGCACACACACACACACACACACACACACACACACACACGGAAAGACGCAUAAAUGCUUCUAGAGGCUCAUGAGGUGUGGACUCAUCCUCAGACACCCCCAGACAUUUAUGGAGAAAUGUAGACAAGUACAUAUGAGCCCACACAGACACAUAGGCAUUUGCAUGUGUGCACACAGAGCCACAGGCAGGUGCAUGGAGUCAUCCGUAUGCAGACACAGGCGUAUGCAUGUUCAUUGCUACGCAGAGACAUAGAGACAUUUAUAAAAAACUGAAAUAUGGAGAUGUAUUCAUAAGGAGACACGUGUGUUUUAAACACGUAUCUGGCAUCUUUAUGCUCAUAGAGUCACAUGAAUUUACACACAGAGGCAAGUUGUUAUUAAAACACACCUGCAUACACAUGGUCCUGCCUGGACCUGCAACCUGGGUGCUCAUGCUGACCAUGAAAACCUAGAAACAUGCCCACAUGCACAUGUAUAGAAAUGUACCUGGGGAAGCACGUGGGGAUAUUCGUGCAUAUGGGUGUGCGUAUGGAACCACACAAGCAUGCCGUGUGCACACAUAGAUGCACUCGUACAUGGAGACAUACACAUGCACACAGACAAAACAGAGAUGGACCCAUGAAGACAUCUCUGCAUGAAUAUGAGCAGACACAUUUAGAGAGAGACGUUUAUAUACAGAGAGAGAUGCCUCCCGUGUAGAUACAGGGGAGAGGAGAGGGAGCGGGGAGACGGAGGUUGGUCGGCUUGGCAGAGACACUUUCUUAUGCAGAAGCUCACACCUACACACAGAGACACACAGGCCUAGAGACCCAUACGAAGAUGUGCACAGGCGAACACAGCUGCACUCACACACUCACUCAGAUGCACGAGAGGAGCAAAGUCACACACACACAUGCAGAAACUCAGGUAUAUUCACGGAGACCCAGGCAAGUGCACAGAGACAGAGAUGUACGUGGAUCCUCACCCAUACGGACUCACAAAGAUACAGACUCAGAAGCUUGUGCAGGUGCCUGCGGGGACAGGUACACAGGUUUGUACACUUACAGACAUUGAGCACGGAUGUACUGAUAGAUGAGGAGACCCACAGACAUACCUGAACAAACGCAGAGGCACACAGGGACCUCCAUGUGCUGCAGGUGCAGCCCUAAAAAGACAAAAAAAGAAAAA